GAUGAACGCUGGCGGCAUGCCUAAUACAUGCAAGUCGAGCGAACGGACGAGAAGCUUGCUUCUCUGAUGUUAGCGGCGGACGGGUGAGUAACACGUGGAUAACCUACCUAUAAGACUGGGAUAACUUCGGGAAACCGGAGCUAAUACCGGAUGAUAUUUUGAACCGCAUGGUUCAAAAGUGAAAGACGGUCUUGCUGUCACUUAUAGAUGGAUCCGCGCUGCAUUAGCUAGUUGGUAAGGUAACGGCUUACCAAGGCAACGAUGCAUAGCCGACCUGAGAGGGUGAUCGGCCACACUGGAACUGAGACACGGUCCAGACUCCUACGGGAGGCAGCAGUAGGGAAUCUUCCGCAAUGGGCGAAAGCCUGACGGAGCAACGCCGCGUGAGUGAUGAAGGUCUUCGGAUCGUAAAACUCUGUUAUUAGGGAAGAACAUAUGCGUAAGUAACUGUGCACAUCUUGACGGUACCUAAUCAGAAAGCCACGGCUAACUACGUG
rnacentral:rRNA from 1 species